ensembl:lncRNA
CCCCAAACCAGAGCAUGCAGUGACAUCUAAGGUCUGAUGACUGAUGGAGAGUGUGAUUCCAAGGAGCACAAGUGGGCAUUGGGAGGUAAUGGAGGGAGGACUUGGGACUGAAAUAAGGAUGAAUUAAAGGUGGGCCCACAGCUGCAGGUGCUCUGCCCCUUUGGGAUCCUCAGGGAAGACAUGUGGAAUGAGGUACAGAAGAUGAAGUCCAGGUGAUAAGGGGACACAUUUUCCCUGGGCUCCCACCCACUGGUAGAAGAUUUUCCCUCUGAGAACUUAAGUCCCCUCAUGCUCUCUCCCAGGUCACUCAUGGGUGUCCUGCUGACUUCCCCAGUAGGAGACAAGGUGCUCAGCCUACGAAGCAAGACCGUGGUGUGUUGUCUGGUUUGAAGUCAUGUGAAGCCCACACAGAACUGGUCUCUAUAGUGAUGGCUGGGAUAAGAGAUAGGAGAGACCAGGAUGAGAUGAACUAGUACCCAAGAGUCAUGGAUACCAUCGGACAUUGAUUUGCACACAAUAUCCUAUGUCCUUAUGUGUGUGUGUAGUAGACAUGAUCAUCCAUCCUUUCUAAAACACAUUUAUUAAAAUAUAAUGUAUACGUUCCCACAAUGGUUCAGUGGGUUAAGAACCUGACAUAGUGUUCAUGAGCAUGCAGGUUCAAUCCCCAGCCUCAUUCAAGGAUCUGGCAUUGCCUCAAGCUGCAGAAUAAGUUGCAGAUUCAGCCUGGAUCUUACAUCGCCAUGGCCGUGGUAUAGGCCUACCACACCAAUUUGAAUACUCGCUGGGGAACUUCCAUAGGCUACAAAUGGGAGCCAUUAAAAAAAAGCUAAAAUCGUUUCUUUUAAUCUAAAAAAAUUUUGUAAAUUCUCUGCUAAGAAAUAGGAAAAUAUGUAGACACACAAACAUGCAUACACACAGAGUUACCCAUCAGAGGCGUAACAUCUACUGAGGACAGGAGAUAGACACACAAAUGCCAGUGUAAGGGUGGUCUCAGUGCCUGCUAGAAAGACAUGAUUGUCCUCAAGGCAUAUUGGGUGGUCACUUCUCCCUGCAGGGAAGUUCAGGGAAUAGGACCUCGUGUUUCCAGACAAAGGAGACUUGACCCGCAUUCAGCUUUGACACCACCAUAAGGCUCUGUCUGGCAGGUGGGAGAGACAGAACUGAACGCCAAAACUAGAACUGUGGGUACCUCACAUAAUUUCUGUUUCCCUUUCUUCCUAUAGUAGAAACUCUCCUUACAGGAAGUGAGGUGGUGGGUUGGAGAAAGAUGAAUGACAAUAGGGAAACCAUCAGGAAGUAACGGUAAGUUAGGCAAAACAUGAUAAAAGUCUGUAGUGAGGCAAUGACUGAGGUUGAGUAGCAUCUCUGAGGAGGACAGAAUUCAAGAGAUAUUUAGUGAAAGAAGAUGAGGACAGGUGGGUAUUGGGAGGAAAAGCAAGAAGGAAGUUGGAGAGUCUUGUCAGGUGUUCUCUUAGGUAACUGCAUGAACAGUGAUGUCAUCAAACAGAACUGAUACCCAGGAGAGGAAGUUAUUUUGGACAUGAGGGAUGGAGGAUGAAUGACAUUUAAUUUGUGUGUUGGUGAGGUUCUCUGUGUAAAUGGGAUGUGACUAUACUGAUGUGUGAGUGUAUGUGAUGAUGUGAGUGUAUGAGAUGUGUGUACGUGAUGUGUUUGUGCAGGUGUGGUGUGUGUGUGCUUAUGAUGUGUGUAUGUAUGUAUGUGUAUGUGCGAGUGUAUAUAUGUGUGAGUGUUUGUGAUGUGUAUGUGAUGUGUAUGAGUGUAUGCAAUGUGUGAGUGCAG